rnacentral:rRNA from 1 species
UACGGAGGGAGCGAGCGUUGUUCGGAAUUACUGGGCGUAAAGCGUGCGCAGGCGGUUUUGUAAGUCUGUCGUGAAAGCCCCGGGCUUAACCUGGGAAUUGCGAUGGAGACUGCAAGGCUUGAAUCUGGCAGAGGGGGGUAGAAUUCCACGUGUAGCAGUGAAAUGCGUAGAGAUGUGGAGGAACACCGAUGGCGAAGGCAGCCCCCUGGGUCAAGAUUGACGCUCAUGCACGAAAGCGUGGGGAGCAAACAGG